GGUCGUAUAGCUCAGUCGGUUAGAGCGCAGCAUUCAUAAUGCUGAUGUCGAAGGUUCGAGUCCCUCUACGACCACCA
rnacentral:tRNA from 3 species